UACGUAGGGCGCAAGCGUUAUCCGGAAUUAUUGGGCGUAAAGAGCUCGUAGGCGGUUUGUCGCGUCUGCUGUGAAAACUGGAGGCUCAACCUCCAGCCUGCAGUGGGUACGGGCAGACUAGAGUGCGGUAGGGGAGAUUGGAAUUCCUGGUGUAGCGGUGGAAUGCGCAGAUAUCAGGAGGAACACCGGUGGCGAAGGCGGCAUCCUGGACCGGUAUUGACGCUGAGGCGCGAAAGCUAGGGGAGCAAACGGG
rnacentral:rRNA from 1 species